UCAGUCCCCUUCAUCGUGUUUCUUCUGCUAUGCCUUUGCUUUUCCCCUUUUGAGAAGAAGAAUAGAGUGUUAUUAUAGGUGAUUAUAAUGAAUGUGAAAGCUUGGCUUUUCAUAGACUUAGACCUCAUGCGGGAAGGAGUCAGAAGUCGGCACGGCGGUGAGGAUACAGGGAGAAGGCUGCUAUCUGUAAGCAAGGAAGAGGGUUCUCACCAGAUCCCGACUGUGUUCCCAGUUUGACCUUGGACUUCCAGCUUCUGGAACUGUGAGAAUACAUACUUGCACUGUGUCAACCACCCAGUCUGUGGCAUUUUACUAUACUUUCCCGAGCUGUCUGGGACCUGCCAUAUCUCAUGCCUGUCACACUAACAGGUAAUCUGCUGCGUUGAGAUUCCUUGUCAAUUAAAGAGAGGCCAGAGGGAGGAUGCGAGAGGCAGAGUUGCGGUAGACAACACGUGAGAUGUGGCGUCCCUUCACCGGUGCACUUGUCAGGCAGAGAAGGACGAUCCCACCAAAAAACGAACAAGAGGAAGCACUUAUUUCUUAACUUGUUCAUCUCUCAUUGUCAAGGGUUUCUGCCUUCUGAGGGGCAUUCCCGGGUGAAACAGAUGCUCUGAGUGAAGUAUUCCCGACCAAUCCAGCUUUGAGGAAGAAAGCCUGAGUUUCCAUCUCUGAUCUGGAACUUACGCCCUGGGCUCCCCAGGCAGACCUGAUGCCCAUCCUGUUGUUUUAGGCGGUGAUGCACAGGAACAGGUCGGGAGGUGGGGUGGGGGCUGGAUUGAGGGAUUGUAGAAUUAAAGGACCCCGAAUGCUCAGUCUUGACAGAACACUCCCACGGGAGAGAGUGGCCCCAGCUAGCACACCUGAGCUGUCCUGACCUGUGGCUUCUGCAGAAUCUCUUCUUGGCCCCACAGCCAUGGCUCUCCACUUAGGUUGCCUCCGGGUCUCCUUCCCAGAGUGGGAACUCACUCUCCAUGAUCACUUACACUGGUCUGCCUUGCCUGGGGGUCCUAGUGUGAUUUAUCAGCCCCUCCAAAUGUAGAACUCCUAGAAAGCAGGGACUAUAUCUUACACAUUUUGGGGUUCCCCUGAAGUUCUGAGCUCAGUGCUCCGUAUGUGGCUGACAUUUGAAACAUGCAUUCCGUUGCACCUUUGCAAUGGAGAUAUAUUAUACAGAGAGCUUCCCGCUGGUCUCCUGCCAUCUUACACAAAACCACUGCACAGUGUAGUAAGACAGAGAACACUGAGGAUUAGCUGACACGGGGUCUGGAUUCCCCUAACUAGAGCCCAAGGGAAACAAGAUCUUGGGCUUACUCCCAGCUUACGGUGCUAAUGCUACAGUCGUAACACGCACAGUUAGGUGGAAGGAGCAAAGGGGGCAGGCCCAGUGCUGGGGAGCUGGGUUUGCCCUAAGGACCAGGAAGCAGAAGGCAAGGGGAAGGCGGCAACUCCAGGGUAGAGGCACAUCUCUCCCUGGGGAUGGGGAUAGGACUGGGCCCAGGGAAGCAUCCUUUCCAUGAAAGGUAACUGCUGGUGCCCAGGUUGGGAGAAGGAGCCCGCCAGGAGGAGAAGCUCCAGCCCUGCUGGGGUCUGGAGCUCCCUGUGCCUUAACAAGGAAGGAAAGAGGCAGUGAGAGAUGCUGACUCUGGGAAACAUCAUUCCUGCUGGAAAUCUGCUAGUGCUGAUGGUUUCCUGCCCCAGAGACAGGGAGGACCCCAACCAGCUAUGCCUUGUCUGUGGGCCUUGGCGGUGAGGGCCUCAAGUUUGUGCAGGGCACAGGGACACAGGUCUCUGUGAUUUCUUGUACCCCAUGAUGUCUCUGGGAGAGCAGGAAAACACCUGUCUCUCUGGCACAGCACAGCCCCCUCCUCCCCCUGCGCUGUGGAAGGGUUUCUGGGCAGCCUGGCAUAGCACACAGAGGGCAGUGCCACCUGCCUGGAGGCCACAGUGAGAGUGACCACAUGCAGCAGGAGGGCUCUCUUCCCAGCUCGAGGCAGAAAUGCCUCCCCGGUGACCCCUCUGCCAGGGGAGGAAUGCCGCCCUCCUGGAGAUGAUCUUGUUUCUUCUAACACCACACAAAGAGAAAGGGAAGGUAUUUAAAGGGAAGGAGAAGGAGCAGGGAUGCAUUUUUGAGUGUCAUUGAUGGAAAUUGGUUCUUGCGACCCUAAUGGUUAGUCCUCAUCCUGCAUGUCCCCUUCCCGCGGCCACCCCCACUCACUGUCACUUCAUUGCAAAGCAAAGUGUCUUCCCUCAGACUCAUCAAGAACCUGAACAGCCAGGAACAGCU